rnacentral:rRNA from 1 species
UUACCCUAAUGGAGCUAACGUAGGGAAUUGAAACAUCUUAGUACCUACAGGAAAAGAAAUCAAUAGAGAUUACGCUAGUAGCGGCGAGCGAAAGCGUAAGAGGGCAAACCCAGUGCUUGCACUGGGGGUUGUAGGACUGCAAUAUGGACUUAAAAGAGAUAGUAGAAUUUGCUGGAAAGCAAAAGCGUAGAGGGUGAUACUCCCGUAUAUGAAAUCUUUUUUAUACCUAGCAGUAUCCUGAGUAGGGCGAGACACGUGAAAUCUUGUCUGAAGCUGGGUAGACCACUAUCCAACCCUAAAUACUACUAUUUGACCGAUAGUGCACAAGUACCGUGAGGGAAAGGUGAAAAGAACUGAGGUGAUCAGAGUGAAAUAGAACCUGAAACCAUUUGCUUACAAUCAUUCAGAGCACUAUGUAGCAAUACAGUGUGAUGGACUGCCUUUUGCAUAAUGAGCCUGCGAGUUGUGGUGUCUGGCAAGGUUAAGCAAACGCGAAGCCGUAGCGAAAGCGAGUUUUAAUAGAGCAUUAAGUCAGAUGCUGCAGACCCGAAACGAAGUGAUCUAUCCAUGAGCAGGUUGAAGCUAGUGUAAGAGCUAGUGGAGGACCCAACCGACGGCCAUUGAAACGGCUCCGGAUGACUUGUGGAUAGGGGUGAAAGGCCAAUCAAACUUCGUGAUAGCUGGUUCUCUCCGAAAUAUAUUUAGGUAUAGCGUUGUGUAGUAGCUAUAAGGGUAGAGCACUGAAUGGGCUAGGGCAUACACCARUGUACCAAACCCUAUCAAACUCCGAAUACUUAUAGUGUAAUCACAGCAGUCAGGCGGCGAGUGAUAAAAUCCGUCGUCAAGAGGGGAACAACCCAGACUACCAGCUAAGGUCCCUAAAUCUUAUUUGAGUGGAAAACGAUGUGAAGUUACUUUAACAACCAGGAGGUUGGCUUAGAAGCAGCCAUCCUUUAAAGAAAGCGUAAUAGCUCACUGGUCUAGUGAUUUUGCGCGGAAAAUAUAACGGGGCUAAAAUAAGUACCGAAGCUGUAGACUUGCACUUAACUCUAAUUAUUUAAUAAAAAGCUUUACUUUAAAGUCUUAUUCUUUAAAAUACUAAGAGCUAGAAUAAAUAAAAAGUACUUAGAGUUAAGUGCAAGUGGUAGGAGAGCGUUCUAUAUGCGUUGAAGAUGUACCGGUAAGGAGCGUUGGAGCGUAUAGAAGUGAGCAUGCAGGCAUGAGUAGCGAUAAUUAAUGUGAGAAUCAUUAACGCCGUAAACCCAAGGUUUCCUACGCGAUGCUCGUCAUCGUAGGGUUAGUCGGGUCCUAAGCAAAGUCCGAAAGGGGUAUGCGAUGGAAAAUUGGUUAAUAUUCCAAUACCAACAUUAUUGUGCGAUGGAAGGACGCUUAGGGCUAAGCAAGCUAGCUGAUGGAAGUGCUAGUCUAAGGUCGUAGGUGCUUAUACAGGAAAAUCCGUAUAAGAAUACACCGAGAACUGAUGGGAUUUUUGAAGUCUUCGGAUGGAAGAAAGAUUUGCUGAUGCCGUCGAGCCAAGAAAAGUUUCUAAGUUUAGAUAAUGUUGCCCGUACCGUAAACCGACACAGGUGGGUGGGAUGAGUAUUCUAAGGCGCGUGGAAGAACUCUCUUUAAGGAACUCUGCAAAAUAGCACCGUAUCUUCGGUAUAAGGUGUGGUUAGCCUUGUAUUAGGAUUUACUCCGAAAGCAAGGAAACUUACAACAAAGAGUCCCUCCCGACUGUUUACCAAAAACACAGCACUCUGCUAACUCGUAAGAGGAUGUAUAGGGUGUGACGCCUGCCCGGUGCUCGAAGGUUAAUUGAUGGGGUUAGCAUUAGCGAAGCUCUUGAUCGAAGCCCGAGUAAACGGCGGCCGUAACUAUAACGGUCCUAAGGUAGCGAAAUUCCUUGUCGGUUAAAUACCGACCUGCAUGAAUGGCGUAACGAGAUGGGAGCUGUCUCAAAGAGGGAUCCAGUGAAAUUGUAGUGGAGGUGAAAAUUCCUCCUACCCGCGGCAAGACGGAAAGACCCCGUGGACCUUUACUAUAGCUUGACACUGCUACUUGGAUAAGAAUGUGCAGGAUAGGUGGGAGGCUUUGAGUAAUAGACGCCAGUUUAUUAUGAGCCACUGUUGAGAUACCACUCUUUCUUAUUUGGGUAGCUAACUAGUAUGAGUUAUCCUCAUAUAGGACAAUGUCUGGUGGGUAGUUUGACUGGGGCGGUCGCCUCCCAAAAAAUAACGGAGGCUUACAAAGGUUGGUUCAAAACGGUUGGAAAUCGUUUGUAGAGUAUAAAGGCAUAAACCAGCUUAACUGCAAGAUAAACACAUCAAGCAGAGACGAAAGUCGGUCUUAGUGAUCCGGUGGUUCUGUGUGGAAGGGCCAUCGCUCAAAGGAUAAAAGGUACCCCGGGGAUAACAGGCUGAUCUCCCCCAAGAGCUCACAUCGACGGGGAGGUUUGGCACCUCGAUGUCGGCUCAUCGCAUCCUGGGGCUGGAGCAGGUCCCAAGGGUAUGGCUGUUCGCCAUUUAAAGCGGUACGCGAGCUGGGUUCAGAACGUCGUGAGACAGUUCGGUCCCUAUCUGCCGUGGGCGUAAGAAGAUUGAAGAGAUUUGACCCUAGUACGAGAGGACCGGGUUGAACAAACCACUGGUGUAGCUGUUGUUCUGCCAAGAGCAUCGCAGCG